rnacentral:rRNA from 1 species
CGGCAACAGCUCAAAUUUGAAAUCUGGCACCCGCCCGAGUUGUAAUUUGCAGAGGAGGCUUUGGAGUCGCCCCGGUCUAAGUUCCUUGGAACAGGACGUCGCAGAGGGUGAGAAUCCCGUACG